GGUUAAGCGACUAAGCGUACACGGUGGAUGCCCUGGCAGUCAGAGGCGAUGAAGGACGUGCUAAUCUGCGAAAAGCGUCGGUAAGGUGAUAUGAACCGUUAUAACCGGCGAUGUCCGAAUGGGGAAACCCAGUGUGAUUCGUCACACUAUCGUUAACUGAAUACAUAGGUUAACGAGGCGAACCGGGGGAACUGAAACAUCUAAGUACCCCGAGGAAAAGAAAUCAACCGAGAUUCCCCCAGUAGCGGCGAGCGAACGGGGAGCAGCCCAGAGUCUGAAUCAGCUUGUGUGUUAGUGGAACGGUCUGGAAAGUCCGACGGUACAGGGUGAUAGUCCCGUACACCAAAAUGCACAGGUUGUGAACUCGAAGAGUAGGGCGGGACACGUGGUAUCCUGUCUGAAUAUGGGGGGACCAUCCUCCAAGGCUAAAUACUCCUGACUGACCGAUAGUGAACCAGUACCGUGAGGGAAAGGCGAAAAGAACCCCGGCGAGGGGAGUGAAAAAGAACCUGAAACCGUGUACGUACAAGCAGUGGGAGCACCUUCGGGUGUGACUGCGUACCUUUUGUAUAAUGGGUCAGCGACUUAUAUUCUGUAGCAAGGUUAACCGUAUAGGGGAGCCGCAGGGAAACCGAGUCUUAACUGGGCGUUAAGUUGCAGGGUAUAGACCCGAAACCCGGUGAUCUAGCCAUGGGCAGGUUGAAGGUUGGGUAACACUAACUGGAGGACCGAACCGACUAAUGUUGAAAAAUUAGCGGAUGACUUGUGGCUGGGGGUGAAAGGCCAAUCAAACCGGGAGAUAGCUGGUUCUCCCCGAAAGCUAUUUAGGUAGCGCCUCGUGAACUCAUCUUCGGGGGUAGAGCACUGUUUCGGCUAGGGGGUCAUCCCGACUUACCAACCCGAUGCAAACUACGAAUACCGAAGAAUGUUAUCACGGGAGACACACGGCGGGUGCUAACGUCCGUCGUGAAGAGGGAAACAACCCAGACCGCCAGCUAAGGUCCCAAAGUCAUGGUUAAGUGGGAAACGAUGUGGGAAGGCACAGACAGCCAGGAUGUUGGCUUAGAAGCAGCCAUCAUUUAAAGAAAGCGUAAUAGCUCACUGGUCGAGUCGGCCUGCGCGGAAGAUGUAACGGGGCUAAACCAUGCACCGAAGCUGCGGCAGCGACACUAUGUGUUGUUGGGUAGGGGAGCGUUCUGUAAGCCUGCGAAGGUGUGCUGUGAGGCAUGCUGGAGGUAUCAGAAGUGCGAAUGCUGACAUAAGUAACGAUAAAGCGGGUGAAAAGCCCGCUCGCCGGAAGACCAAGGGUUCCUGUCCAACGUUAAUCGGGGCAGGGUGAGUCGACCCCUAAGGCGAGGCCGAAAGGCGUAGUCGAUGGGAAACAGGUUAAUAUUCCUGUACUUGGUGUUACUGCGAAGGGGGGACGGAGAAGGCUAUGUUAGCCGGGCGACGGUUGUCCCGGUUUAAGCAUGUAGGCUGGUUAUCCAGGCAAAUCCGGAUAAUCAAGGCUGAGGUGUGAUGACGAGGCACUACGGUGCUGAAGUAACAAAUGCCCUGCUUCCAGGAAAAGCCUCUAAGCAUCAGGUAACAUCAAAUCGUACCCCAAACCGACACAGGUGGUCAGGUAGAGAAUACCAAGGCGCUUGAGAGAACUCGGGUGAAGGAACUAGGCAAAAUGGUGCCGUAACUUCGGGAGAAGGCACGCUGGUGUGUAGGUGAAGUCCCUGCGGAUGGAGCUGAGACCAGUCGAAGAUACCAGCUGGCUGCAACUGUUUAUUAAAAACACAGCACUGUGCAAACACGAAAGUGGACGUAUACGGUGUGACGCCUGCCCGGUGCCGGAAGGUUAAUUGAUGGGGUUAUCCGUAAGGAGAAGCUCUUGAUCGAAGCCCCGGUAAACGGCGGCCGUAACUAUAACGGUCCUAAGGUAGCGAAAUUCCUUGUCGGGUAAGUUCCGACCUGCACGAAUGGCGUAAUGAUGGCCAGGCUGUCUCCACCCGAGACUCAGUGAAAUUGAACUCGCUGUGAAGAUGCAGUGUACCCGCGGCAAGACGGAAAGACCCCGUGAACCUUUACUAUAGCUUGACACUGAACAUUGAGCCUUGAUGUGUAGGAUAGGUGGGAGGCUUUGAAGCGUGGACGCCAGUCUGCGUGGAGCCAACCUUGAAAUACCACCCUUUAAUGUUUGAUGUUCUAACGUUGGCCCCUGACCGGGGUUGCGGACAGUGUCUGGUGGGUAGUUUGACUGGGGCGGUCUCCUCCCAAAGCGUAACGGAGGAGCACGAAGGUUAGCUAAUCCUGGUCGGACAUCAGGAGGUUAGUGCAAUGGCAUAAGCUAGCUUGACUGCGAGCGUGACGGCGCGAGCAGGUGCGAAAGCAGGUCAUAGUGAUCCGGUGGUUCUGAAUGGAAGGGCCAUCGCUCAACGGAUAAAAGGUACUCCGGGGAUAACAGGCUGAUACCGCCCAAGAGUUCAUAUCGACGGCGGUGUUUGGCACCUCGAUGUCGGCUCAUCACAUCCUGGGGCUGAAGUAGGUCCCAAGGGUAUGGCUGUUCGCCAUUUAAAGUGGUACGCGAGCUGGGUUUAGAACGUCGUGAGACAGUUCGGUCCCUAUCUGCCGUGGGCGCUGGAGAAUUGAGGGGGGCUGCUCCUAGUACGAGAGGACCGGAGUGGACGCAUCACUGGUGUUCGGGUUGUCAUGCCAAUGGCACUGCCCGGUAGCUAAAUGCGGAAGAGAUAAGUGCUGAAAGCAUCUAAGCACGAAACUUGCCCCGAGAUGAGUUCUCCCUGAGACU
rnacentral:rRNA from 1 species